rnacentral:rRNA from 1 species
UACGUAGGGGGCAAGCGUUGUCCGGAAUCAUUGGGCGUAAAGCGCGUGUAGGCGGCUCGGUAAGUCCGCUCUGAAAGUCCAGGGCUCAACCCUGGGAUGCGGGUGGAUACUGCCGAGCUCGAGUCCGGAAGAGGCGAGUGGAAUUCCUGGUGUAGCGGUGAAAUGCGCAGAUAUCAGGAGGAACACCAAUGGCGAAGGCAGCUCGCUGGGACGUCACUGACGCUGAGGCGCGAAAGCCAGGGGAGCAAACGGG